GUGGGGAAUAUUGCGCAAUGGGGGAAACCCUGACGCAGCGACGCCGCGUGGAGGAUGAAGGUCUUCGGGUUGUAAACUCCUUUUCUCAGGAAAAAUUAUGAUGGUACCUGAGGAAUAAGCCACGGCUAACUCUGUGCCAGCAGCCGCGGUAAGACAGAGGUGGCAAGCGUUGUUCGGAAUCACUGGGCUUAAAGGGCGAGUAGGCGGUGAGGUAAGUCUGAGGUGGAAUCCUAUGACUCAAUCAUAGAAUUGCCUUGGAAACUGCUUUACUUGAGUCAGUGAGGGGAGGGCGGAAUUCCUGGUGUAGCGGUGAAAUGCGUAGAUAUCAGGAGGAAGGCCUGUGGCGAAGGCGGCCCUCUGGCACUGCACUGACGCUGAGGCGCGAAAGCGUGGGUAGCAAACAGGAUUAGAAACCCGGGUAGUCC
rnacentral:rRNA from 1 species